rnacentral:rRNA from 1 species
AAUCUUUCAAGAGCAUUUAGUGAAUGCCUAGACAGAAGAUGAUUGAGGACGUUAAACGCAACGAAACGCCAUAGAAAGGUGCGUCAAUCCUGAGAUCUAUGGAUUUCCUUUGAGGAAACUUUCAAUUUGAUAUUUACCUGGUGAACUGAAACAUCUCAGUAACCAGAGGAAAAAAAAUCAACCGAGACUCCGUUAGUAGUGGUGAGCGAACACGGAUUAGGCCUUCAUUCUUUUCUGAUUUUUUUGAAGUUUAAGCUGUUUGGAAAAACGCGCCAAAGAGGGUGAUAGCCCCGUCAACUUACAACAAUCAAAAGCCAAGAAUGAUUUUUAGAGUAAAACGAAGACCUUCUUUGUUUGAAUCAGCGUAUCAUCUUUUAUGAUGAUACUUGAAAAGGGGGACCACCCUCUAAGCCUAAGUAUAAUCUUCUGAUCGAUAGUGAACAAGUACCGUGAGGGAAAGGUGAAACAGACCCCUAAACAGGGAGUGAAAAAGAUCCUGAAACUGAAUGCUUACAAGCAGUCGAAGCUCUUUUUUUGAGAAGAGUGACGGCGUACCUUUUGCAUAAUGGGUCAGCGAGUAAAUUUAUGGAGCGAGCCUAAGCUCUUAAGUGGAGGCGGAGUGAAAGCGAGCUUUAAAUGAGCACAGGUCUUUAUUCCAAAAAAAGAAAACAAGUUUCAUAAAUUUGACCCGAAACCAAGCGAUCUAGUCAUGAGCAGGUUGAAAAAAUGAUAAUACGUUUUGGAGGACCGAACCCACAUCUGUGGCAAUAGAUGGGGAUGACUUGUGAUUAUGGGGUGAAAAGCCAAUCGAGCUUGGAAAUAGCUGGUUUUCUGCGAAAUCUAUUGAGGUAGAGCGUAUAGGAUUAGAGAGUAAAAAGGAGGUAGAGCACUCGUUGGGUGAUGGUGGCCCAAAGCCUUACUGAUCCCAUGGAAACUCCGAAUGCCUUUUUAUAGACUAUACAGACAGACUAGAGGCGCUAAGGUCUCUAGUCAAAAGGGAAACAACCCAGAUCGAACGCUAAGGUUCUCAAGCAAUUUCUGAGUGGUAAAGGAAGUUCUUAGGCUCAGACAACCAGGAGGUAGGCUUGGAAGCAGCCAUCCUUUUAAGAAAGCGUAAUAGCUCACUGGUCUAUGUCUAAGAGCACCUAAAAUGUAUCGGAGCUCAAGAUAUUCACCGAAGCGGCGAUUUUAAAUCUUUCGGUUCCAAAUUUGGAACCGAAAGAUUUAAAAGGUAGCAGAACGUUCUGUAAAUUAAAGAUGCUUUGUUGUCAAACAAAGUUGAGAUAUCAGAAGUGAGAAUGCUGACAUGAGUAACGAAAAAUCAUGUGAAAAUCAUGAGAGCCGAAUGUCCUAGGUUUUCUACAGACCGUAUUUCGGUGUAGAGUGAAUCGGCCCCUAAGAGAAAAGCGAAAGCUUCUUUUUAAUGGGUACAAUGUUUAAUAAUCAUUGAUGUGAAUUCAAGUGACGACUAGUAGUACAUUCCACAAGUUAUAGGAUAUCUUGUGUUGUUGGUGUAUUAUGGUCCAGGAAAAAACUUGAUGUUUUCCAAAUUUUUAAUUUGGAUUCAACACACCGUACUUAAACCGACACUGGUGGACUUGUUGAAUAAACUCAGGCUUAGAGAGAAUCAUGUUGAAGGAACUCGGCAAAUUACCUCCGUAACUUCGGAAUAAGGAGGACAUCAACUGUUUUCUUUUUGAACCAGUUGAUGUAUCACAAAAGAGGGGGUGGCGACUGUUUAUUAAAAACACAGGACUCUGCUAAGUGGUAACACGACGUAUAGGGUCUGACACCUGCCCGGUGCUGGAAACUUAACAGGAGGGGUGCUCAUACUUUGUGUGAAAGCUCUUAAUGCAAGGCCCAGUAAACGGCGGCCGUAACUCUGACGGUCCUAAGGUUAAAUAUGAUGUAUUGACGCUCCUUGAAGGUACCACCUUCAAGACAAAUCGCUAGCCUUAGUAAAACUAAACUAUAUGCUGGAAACUCCUCAAAAACUUUGUACUACUCGUCAAGAAUUCUUCUUUUCAGUAAAAAUGUACAAGACACGGGGACAAUCAGCAGGAAAGACUCACACCAAGUGGAGUUCCAGAUUUGGAACCAAUUUGUUAAAGGAAAGACAAAAAGAAUGCUUUUGUCACCACAUGUGAGAAUCCCCAGAGACUAUACGUUUGGGGACUUUUUUCGCUAAAAAAAACAUCUAUGAAUUUACAAACACAAUGGAUUGUAGGUUUUGUUGAUGGUGAAGGCUGUUUUCAUGUUGGAAUCAACAAAAACAGCAGUAUCAACACUGGGUAUCAAGUUCUGCCUGAAUUUACAGUGACACAACACGAAAGAAAUCUCAAAGUGCUGUACGCUUUGAAAUCCUAUUUUCAGUGUGGUGUGGUCCGUGUGAAUCAUGGCGAUCGAUUUUGUUAUCGUGUUCGAAAUUUUGACCAUUUACACCACAUCAUUCUUCCUUUUUUUGAGACACAUAAAUUAGUGACCUCAAAACGCAUCGAUUUUGAAAAAUUUCGACGAAUUUGUCUGUUAAUGGAACGAAAAGCACACCUUUCUGUCCAAGGAGUAGAAGAAAUUCGCCAAAUUCAAGAGUCUAUGAAUCGAAAAGGAAUCCGUUUUUAAGAUCAAGAGCAAAAAAGUCUAAGAUAGAGUCCAGCUUUUAAUGAAAAUUAAGAGAGUAUCUGAGCGAAAUUCCUUGUCGGGUAAACGAGAACUUGCCCGAAUGUUUUGUAAGAAACAGUGUUCUCAAAAAAUUGAGAACUAGUAAACCGACUCAUAACGGGGGAACCCUAAGGUUUGAAAACAGCAAACUAUGGCAAUCCCGUGGGAAGUUUGAUAAUCGUAAAAGAAAACACAAAAAUCACUUUCUUUUAUCAAACCCUGUAACGACUGAUCCGAAAGGAGAGGCUUUCUGAUGUUUUUCAUUUUUUGAGAAUCAAAAACAAAAAAAGAAGGCAACACGUCGGCCCUUAUCAGUUUUCUAACAAAUUUAUGGUUUGAUUGUCUCUUUGUUUGGGUGGUUCUACUCAAACAAGGAGAUCAAAUGCAAAACACUCAAUUUAUGACACCACUAACAGCAGAUUACAUCGUAGGAUUUACAGAUGGAGAAGGAUGUUUUUCUCUUCAUAUUACCAAAAGAACCCAAAAUCAGUUUGGAUUCUGUUUUUCACCUAGUUUUAGUCUUUCUCAAAACACAUCUUCAAAACAAGUUUUGGAAGACAUUCAACUUUUUUUUCAGUGUGGUUUUCUAAGAAAAGACCGUGAAACCAGUAAAUAUGAAGUGCGUGAUUUACAAGAAUUACUAGAAAAAAGCAUCCCUUUUUUUGAAAAAAACAAAUUAACAACACAAAAAAACCAAGAUUUUCUCCUUUUUUGUGAAAUUUGUAAUUUAUUAAAAAAGAAAAAGCAUCUAGAACUCUCUGGUGUCUUGACGCUGAUAGAUUUAGCAUAUUCAAUGAAUAAUACUGGUAAAAAUCGUCGUAAGACAAAACAGCAAUUACUCUCUGAAAUGAAAACCAAACCUACCAAUUUGUGAUAAGGUGAAGGUAUAGUCUGAUCUUUAUGGAAACAUAAAGCUAACACAAGUAACAUCUAAUGAAGUUCCGACCUGCAUGAAUGGUGUCACGACUUCCCCACUGUCUCCAACAUGAUCUCAGUGAAAUUGAAUUCUCCGUGAAGAUGCGGAGUUCCCGAAAGUAGACGGUAAGACCCUAUGCACCUUUACUAUAGUUUAACAUUGAAAAAAGAGUCUGAAUGUGUAGAAUAGGUGGGAGUUUCUUUUCUAAGAAACGUCAAUGAAAUACCACCCUUUCUUUCUCAUUUUUCUAACCUUACAAAAAAGACAACCGUUAAAAAAAUACAUUUUUUCACUGGUGUUCCAAAUAGUUACUAUUUGGAAACCUAGGAACACUGUUAAAUGGGUAGUUUGACUGGGGCGGUCGCUUUAAUAUGGAGCCCUAUUCUAGUAAUAGAAUUUGCAAAUCUGGCUAUAUGCUGGAAUCUCUGUCCAAACCCUCAUUUUUUCUUCCAAACAUCACCGUCUCGAACGAGUUGACUCUCGUUUCUUGGAAGAGUUACUCAAAAGAUGAGAGAUUUGGUGCCAUCUUGCUUUCACACACGGGAAAGCAAACACACUAUGGGUAAAGUAUCUCGAUUGCUUGAUCAUCAUCAAGAAACAGUAUCGAGUGCAGACAAUCAGCAGGAAACCAAUCAUAAACUUUGCGUUUAUGGAGUAGGAUCCUCAACGACUACACGCCAGACGUCCUCGAGACAAUUGGAAGCAGGAAAAAGCUUUCGAUUGCUUGAAGGAUGAUGAUAUAGUCUGAACUACUAGGCGACUAGUAGAAUUUUAGAGCUUUCCAAACUCUAAAAUUUCAUUUACAGAUCUUUUUUUAUGACUUGUUCUUUAUCUGAUAUUCAAAAAGAAAUUUAAAUUGGCUCUUUGUUAGGUGAUGGCCAUCUUGAAACACAAAAUGGAGGCAAAACAUACAGGUACAUUGUUGUGCAAUCGUCAAAAAAACCUUUGUAUUCUCGCUUUCUUCGACAAAGGUUUCAAAAUUACAUUACAACACCACCAUAUACACGAACAUAUCAGACUUUACAAGGUGACUCAUCUACCAUAAGAUUCGUGACUCGAACAAGUCCAGAUUUUGUGACCUUUGCUCACCUGUUUUACAGAGAUGGAGUGAAACGUGUUCCUCCAACUCUUGGAGAUGUGUUAACUCCAGUAGGGGUAGCCAUUUGGUAUAUGGACGAUGGCAGUGAAAAAUCAUCUCAAUCAAAGGGGGUGUUUUUUAACACACACGGUUUUUCACGAGAGGAUCAAGAUCUCCUGUGUGCCAUUUUACAAGACAAAUUUCAGCUUGAUGCUUGGAAAAGACCAGAUUCUCAGAGUUACAGAAUUUAUGUUUCUGGGAAAAGUUAUGAACGGCUCACUCGCCUGAUUACACCCUAUUUCACGGAUGAUAUGUGGUAUAAAUGGCCAGAACCUCGAAAAGUGAGACCACGUAAAUGAAUAACAUUAUUGCCUAAAGAGUAACGGAAGUGUGCGAAGGUAAGCUCAAGCUGGACGGAAAUCAGCUGUAGAGCGUAAUGGUAGAAGCUUGCCUGACUGUAAGACUUACAAGUCAAGCAGAGACGAAAGUCGGCCAUAGUGACCCGGGAGUUCUCAGUGGAAAGGCUCUCGAUCAACGGAUCAAAGGUACGCUAGGGAUAACAGGCUGAUGACUCCCAAGAGCUCUUAUCGACGGAGUCGUUUGGCACCUCGAUUAACAAAAGCCAUAGUCGAGGCUAAAGUGGGUGAAUUGCAAGGACCUCUGUUUCUGGAAACCCGAGAAACAGACAACUUGCAGCGAAGCAUUGUGAAUGGAAAAAAAAAGUAACAAUGAACGUUCAACGACUAGAGAGUGAGAAUUUCCUAUCAAUAAUCUCUCCACGAGCGCCCGCUACCAUUUUUUUUUUUGAAAGUAUGACCAAAAUCAUAAAAAACACAAGAGAUGGCUAUCAUUUGAAUUCAUCCUAUUGACAAACUUAUAAAAAGACUCUUCCAAAACUCCCACAAGACUGUUUUGAUACAGCUGUAGGAAUGCUUUUGGGUGAUGCUACAAUGUCUUAUGUCAGUCAUAACGCAUUGAUUAAAUUUGAACAAGGGGUCAAACAAAAAGAAUUUCUGUUUCAUCUUUUUGAUGUGUUUUCUAGGUAUUGUUUUAUGACAGAACCUGGAAGACGAGUUGAAAAAAAUCACUGUGUGAAAAGUUAUUGGUUUAAAACCUUUUCAUUUCCUGACUUUACUGAUUUAUUUCUGAUACUUCACGACCAACGUCAUGGAAAAUGGAAAAAAACAAUCAAGCAAGGAUUGAUUCGUGAUUGGUUAACUCCUCGAGGAUUCGCGUAUUGGAUUAUGUGUGAUGGAAGUUUACAAAAAGACAACCAAACACUGAUUCUUCAUACUCAAGGAUUUUGUUUGCAGGAGAACACUGUUUUAUCAACAGAAUUAAACAAGAAAUUUCAACUGCAUUCUCGUGUGAUUUCACAUAAAACACACUAUUUUGUGCUUGAAUUCCCUCGUCACGACAGUGAGACAUUGGGUGCUUUACUGAAUCAGUAUUUCAUCCCAAUUAUGCUCUAUAAACUUCCUGAUUGCAACUUGAAAAAAAAAUGUGGUAAUGACAUAGUCUGAGCUACUCUGUGAAGAGUAGAAAUUUAGGAUAAAAAGCCUAAAUGAUAACAUCACUGGUCGACUCAUCGCAUCCUCGAGCUGAAGAAGGUUCGAAGGGUUCGGCUGUUCGCCGAUGAAAGCGGUACGUGAGUUGGGUUUAGUACGUCGUGAGACAGUACGGAUCCUAUCUUUUUCGGGUGAUAAAAAUUGAGAGAACCAUUUCCUUGUACGAGAGGACCGGAAAUGACGAACCUCUGGUGUACCAGUUGUUGUGCCAACAGCAUCGCUGGGUAGCUACGUUCGGAACGUAGAACUGCUGAAAGCAUCUCAAGCAGGAAUUCGUUUCUCAAAACAAGUUUUUAAAAUCGUCGAAGACUACGACGUAAUAGGCGAGAUGUGAAAAUUUCGUGAGAAAGCAGCUAACUCGUACUAAUUUUUUUCUACCUCUAGAUUUAAAUC